rnacentral:lncRNA from 1 species
GCCGCCCGGUGCCCCCGCCCCGUUCACCAGCCCCUCGGCCGGGACCUCCGCGGGUCGCGACUCUCGGGGGGCCUCGGCCCCGCCGUCCUUGGAGGCGCGGCCCGCGACCGCGUUCCUGGAGGCCACCCCCGGGGCCGCCCCGUCUGCGCGGUCUGCGGCCUCCUUGGGCUCCUGGGGCCCCUCGGCCCCGUGACCGCGCAGCCGCUGCGCCAGGCCUCCGGCGUCCAGGUCGUCGGGCGGGCUGGGCUGGGCGCUGCCCACGCGGUACGUGCCGGCGCCGCCGCCGCCCUCCAGUUGUACCAGCUGCAGCUCCUGCCCGGUGCAGAAGGCGCGGAUCUGGCACAGGUACGUCAUGACGAUGAGCUUGUCGGGCACCGACAGUAGCACCAUGUCCGCGGGCUCCAGCAGCCGCGACACGCCCAGAGCCGCGAAGCCAUCGAAGGCCUAGGGGAAGGGUGCACUCGGGGUCAGCGGCGGCGGUGGCCCGCGCCACCCGGCAACGCUGCAGUGCCGCCCCACGGAGGGGGUCCCCGGGAUUGGCACCCCGGGUUUUGCCUAGCAACACCGCCCCCUCCUAGCGAGGGAAAUCCAGCAACAAGGCCCGCCCUCGCGUUGCUUAGCAACGGCACACCGUCCACCCCGUUACCAAAGGGUGGUUUUGGAAAAACCAUCUAAGGGAGGAAAAACGCUUUAAAACAAACAAACGAAAAUAAGGAAAACAAACAAUUUAAUGACCAAAGGGGUAAAAAGUGGCAGAACUUCCAGAAGCCACUGCUGGGCCCGGCAGUCCACUUUCUCCAAAUCUGACACUGAGAGCCUGGCUCUCCAGACCCUCCUUCCCUCCAGGCAGUCCCCCACCCCAUCUCACCUGCUUGUUGUUCUGCUUGAUGUUGAGUGGGUCUAGCGAGGCAUAGUCAAUCUUGUCUGGGUAGAAUCGGUGCAGGAUGGCACAGAAGGCCAAGCCGUUGCGCCAGGAUGUGGUGAAGUUGGUGAUGCGGACGCCACGGUAGCCAGUGGUGACUUCCUGGCACCACUCCAGCAGGGACUGGCUGGAGCUGACCAGGGCAGGUGGUGCCUUUGACCUCUGCUCAGCAUCCACUUGACAAACUGCUGAACUCUCUUCAGCCUCCCCAGCUCUGACUCCUGACCUCUUAGUGUUUGCCUCUCUGCCUCCUGACCUUGGCUCAGUGUCCACCCCACUGGCCUCUGGCCUGUCCUCAGUGUCCAUCUCUUCAGCCUUGAGUCUCUGCCUUCCAAAAGGGUCUCCAGAACCUUUAUCC